rnacentral:lncRNA from 1 species
GCGGCCGCCGCCAAGCAGAUCUCAUCCCAUCAGUUGAAGACCUUAAGAGAAAAGAGACUGACCUGCUCUGAGCAAGGAGGAAUUCUGCUGGCCAACUGCUUGUGAACUCCAACUUGUAAUAUCGGUCUCCAGCCUACCGGCUUACUCUGCAGAUUUUGGAUUUGCCAAGCCUCCACAACCGCAGAAGCCAAUUCCUUAAAAUGAAUCCCUUACAACAGUUCCCUAAAAUAAAUUCUUCAAAAUUCCUUAAAAUAAAUGUGUGUGCAUGUGUGUCUGUGUAUAUAUAUAGCCUAUGUAAUGUCUAAUAUAGAUCUAUAAUAUAUAUUAGAUAAAUAUACACAUACUUAUCAUAUAUAUAUGUGUGUGUGUGUGUGUGUUUCUCCUAUUGGUUCUGUUCUCUGGAGAACCUAAUACAGAAACAAAUCUGUUUAUUCUUCUAGCCUC